rnacentral:rRNA from 1 species
AGCGAACGCUGGCGGUAUGCCUAACACAUGCAAGUCGAACGGCAGCACAGUAAGAGCUUGCUCUUACGGGUGGCGAGUGGCGGACGGGUGAGGAAUACAUCGGAAUCUACUUUUUCGUGGGGGAUAACGUAGGGAAACUUACGCUAAUACAGCAUACGUCCUACGGGUGAAAGCAGGGGAUCUUCGUACCUUGCGCGAUUGAAUGAGCCGAUGUCGGAUUAGCUAGUUGGCGGGGUAAAGGCCCACCAAGGCGACGAUCCGUAGCUGGCCUGAGAGGAUGAUCAGCCAAACUGGAACUGGGACACGGUCCAGACUCCUACGGGGGGCAGCGGUGGGGAAUAUUGGACAAUGGGGGCAAGCCUGAUCCAGCAAUACCGCGUGGGUAAAGAAGGCCUUCGGGUUGUAAAGCCCUUUUGUUGGGAAAGAAGAGCAGCAGGUUAAUACCCCGCUGUUCUGACGGUACCCAAAGAAUAAGCACCGGCUAACUUCGUG